rnacentral:misc_RNA from 1 species
UUUUUGUUAAAUUCCACGCGGACGAAGUCGCGGGCACAGCAGCUAGUAAUAAUAUAUAAUUCAUAUAUACAAUAAUAUUGUUACGUGUUAGGGUUCGAAGGAUUUGGAGAGAAAGACCUGCUGACUCUUUUCAAGACUUUAUUCACAAGCACUAGGUCCAACACAAAGCACUAGGUUCAAACACUAAGCACUAACAAUAUCCUAUGUCAUAGCCAAUGUCGUAGGUUU